rnacentral:rRNA from 1 species
CGCGUAGGCGGCCUGAUAAGUAGGGGGUGAAAUCCUGCGGCUUAACCGCAGGGCUGCCUUCUAAACUGUCGGGCUCGAGCACGGUAGAGGCAGAUGGAAUUCCCGGUGUAGCGGUGGAAUGCGUAGAGUUCGGGAAGAACAUCAGUGGCGAAGGCGGUCUGCUGGGCCGUUGCUGACGCUGAGGCGCGACAGCGUGGGGAGCAAACA